rnacentral:rRNA from 1 species
AUGAACGCUGGCGGCGUGCCUAAUACAUGCAAGUCGAGCGAACGGACGAGAAGCUUGCUUCUCUGAUGUUAGCGGCGGACGGGUGAGUAACACGUGGAUAACCUACCUAUAAGACUGGGAUAACUUCGGGAAACCGGAGCUAAUACCGGAUAAUAUUUUGAACCGCAUGGUUCAAAAGUGAAAGACGGUCUUGCUGUCACUUAUAGAUGGAUCCGCGCUGCAUUAGCUAGUUGGUAAGGUAACGGCUUACCAAGGCAACGAUGCAUAGCCGACCUGAGAGGGUGAUCGGCCACACUGGAACUGAGACACGGUCCAGACUCCUACGGGAGGCAGCAGUAGGGAAUCUUCCGCAAUGGGCGAAAGCCUGACGGAGCAACGCCGCGUGAGUGAUGAAGGUCUUCGGAUCGUAAAACUCUGUUAUUAGGGAAGAACAUAUGUGUAAGUAACUGUGCACAUCUUGACGGUACAUAAUCAGAAAGCCACGGCUAACUACGUG